AAUGUCGUAACAAGGUUUCCGUAGGUGAAUCCUGCGGAAUGGAUCAUUACUGGCGCGAACGCCAACGCAGGACCUUGUCCCUGCGCGGCUGACCCUCCACCCGUGUGAACUGAAUUUGUUACUUGGCGGGCCGGGCUCGACCUACCGGCUCCGGUGGGGAAGUGCCCGCCAGAGCCCAUCGUGCAGUUAGUGCAGUCAGAAUAACUUAAUAAGUAAAAC
rnacentral:misc_RNA from 1 species